CAGCCUUGGCCAAUCCGUAGUCCGAUCAAAAAGCGAUCUGCCACCUGGCAGGCCACAUGAAACACAGAAAUAAGGAGGAACCCACGCCACCGAUUUCACCGGAUGCUCCAAAAUCCAAGUCGCAAUUUCCCAAACUGGAAGAAUAGCAGAAGUUUUUCGAACCACCAAAAGCUAAAAUGCAAAAGUUGAAAACAACAGCUCCAAUCUUGUUGUAAAACUUUUAAAAUUUAGGGUUACAAAAUUCUAACAGAAUCUAAUAUGGCGGUUAUUAGGACAAGCGCAAACAUGAUCCUCAAAGAAAUCCUCUAUCAUUCACCGCUAUCUUCCAUUUCUUUAUCAUCCUCGGCUCGUGCGGUUCUGCCCGGUUUCUGUGGGACCAUCCGUGUGACCCCCAGCCGAGGAAUCAGUUUCAGCCGGAUUCGCUGCGCCGCGUCAGACGCCAGUGCCGAGAGAAAAGUCUCUGCUCGCCUCUCGCAAGUGCAACAGCUCCUGCAGGAAGCGGAAGAGCGAGCCAGCUCCGCCGGGAAUGAGCCCACCCCACAAAUCACUCUGGAUCAUGUUACUGUGAGUUUUGCAAGAAGUGGUGGCCCUGGAGGUCAAAAUGUAAACAAAGUUAACACCAAGGUGGACAUGCGCUUCAAUGUAAAAAACGCAUAUUGGCUGAGUGACAGGAUCAGAGAGAGGAUUAUGCAACUGGAAAAAAAUCGGAUAAACAAGGAUGGUGAAAUUGUGAUUUCUUCAACGAAGACUAGGACACAGAAGGGUAACAUUGAUGAUGCUCUGGCAAAACUACAGGUGCUGAAAUACUCCCUCUCUCUUUCUAAGAAUUAUGUUUUGCUGCUAUAGUGUGCCUAGCAGUUGGUUGUUACCCAUCAAAGAUGCAAUUACAAACAUAUCUGGUUUGUUAUGACAAUCAUUGAUGCUGCUGCUUAUGUGCCACCACCCCCAUCAGAAGAGCAAAAGAAGAAAAUUGCAAAGAUGGCUGCAAUUGGGGAGCAAAAACGCCUUAAAAGCAAGAAGGCCCUUUCAGACAAGAAAGCAUUUAGAAGAAGUCGGGACAGUUGGGACUAAAUUAUGGUGUCAUAAGUCAUUAGGUUUAUAGCGUCUGAAGAUCAUCAAAUCAGUAAGGGAGUAGCCAGCUGGAAGGGAGCUUAAAGAAGUGUUUUGUCCAUAUUUCUUGUUAAAGUUUUUGAUGGGUGGGAAGAAAUACUACUCUCUCCUGAUGUAAAAUAGCCAUUGAUCCAUUAUAUUUAUAGGCCGCUGCACAUCAUUCUUAAAGAUAUUACGCACCAAAAUCUUGUUACGUGUUCAUGUUUGUCACAGCUAAUCGUACAAGGAGGAUUUAUUGUUAUGGUC